rnacentral:lncRNA from 1 species
CCUCCAUGAAGAGAGAGAAGAGAGACCAUCAGCCUGCGUGUGGAUUUUUAACUCUGAUGGCCCAGGUGCUGAGCUGGAUGCUUCUGGAAGGAGAGGACACUGAUGCUCAGUCAGGAGGAGAUCUGGCCUUGGAUUCAGUGGGCAGCUGCGGCAGGGCUGAAUGCAGGACUCCAGUUUUGGUCUUUGCAUAGCUGCCCCUAGGAGUUUUCCAAGAUACACCCCCCUCCCCCACCC